GAUGUUUUAAAGAAGGCAAGGACUAACUUAGAGGUGAAAUCCCUAAGGGCUCUGCCGUGUACUCCAGCCUUGUGACCCUUGCCUUCCAGGAACCAUGCAAGAAGCGCAGCCACCAGAAGUCCUUAAAACAGCAGGAAAGAACUACAAGUUUAUAGGACAUGGAUUUCAGUGCCCUCAUCUGGCCAACCAUCUUCAGCUGCCAAUGCCCAAGGUAACAUCUUUCCCUACUAAGACCCGACUCAGGACCUUUCCUUAAGGAGAUGUCCUGUUCUUUCUUUCCCACCAGAACUGCCCUGGCCCAGACCCCAUUUCUGUCUGGUGACCAGGACAGUCCCCUCACCAGUCUCCCAGGUUGGGGAGGGCAGAUC
rnacentral:sRNA from 1 species